CCCCGUCCUCACCGCGGCGGCAACCAGACGCCUUUCCCUUCAGUGCCGGACUUCCUUCCUGUGGCGCCGCAUUCAGGACUGGUGCGCCUCCGCGUAAUAAAGUAGUCCGCCACGUACUGGAGCUGAUGUGGAGAAGAAGACGGCGGCGUACCAGAGAGCUGCGUGUGAUGGCGUCCACCACCGCAUUGAAGACGUUGACGGGGAGUCGCAGCAGCGUCGUGCCGCUGUCAACUAUGGCUUUAUCCAUGUUGUACUGAAAGAAAAGUGCGACAAGAGAAGUGCGGCUCGUCAGUGGGAGUGGAGAAGACUCCGAUGGAAGACCUUGAGCGAGUGACAGAACGUCAACAUUGGAUUCAAAGCACUGACAAGAACUUGUGCCAAUAUGACUUUUGGGAUAGAAUAAGCUACAAGUGUUGGUCCUUAAGUCAAACAGGAAUACAAUGGACAAGAAUUGUGUACUAAUGUAGUGAGCUUAGAAGCAUAAAGGCUACGUUCACACUGCAGGGUAGGAUGUCCAAUUUGGAAUUUUUUUGGCAAAUCCAAUCUUUUUAAUAUCGUUCAUAUUACAAAAAUGCGAUGUCCAAUGUGUAAGCAUUCUGACCCACAUGCAGACAUGAUGUCAACGUGCUGCAGUCUCUACAGAAGUAAACAUGGCUUCAAUUUUAGUCCGUCUCAGUCGUGGCGCGUUUGUGGCAAUUUUAAGGACUUUGUGCAAUCCAAGUCAACAUUUUUUAACCAAAUUAUUGCGUGUAGACGAUUAAGAAGGAAGAGGGCAAGUAUUUUGGCUCUAGCGGUUUGCGGUACAUUUGCUUCGACGUCUGCUUUGAAGAGCGUGUCAGCGAGCAGUCGAAGGCAAGAGCGGCGACACAUUGAGGCGAGUUCCGGAAAAAUUACCGUAAAUUCCGGACUAUAAGCUGCUAAUUUUUUCCUAUGCUUUGAAACCUGCGACUUAUAAAACGGUGCGGCUAAUGUGUGUAAGUGUCUGUGAUAAUAAUUUUAAUUUACAACGGCAUUCUCUCAGUUUCACAAAUUCCUCAGUAAAUUCACCAAAUUGUCACCGUGGCGUUAUUGAGGCUGUUUAGCUGAUUGGAGAGCUAGCUUCCGCAGCUAGUGGAUCAAUGACGAUGACUUCUAUUUUCUUUGAUCGGCCUUUUUAUUGCCGUGUUACAGGCACUGUUUGAAAACAAUUAUGUUAUGUAAAUAAGCAUUUAUAAUUUUUUUCUGUGUAAAUAACUCAUUUAGCAACUUAUAAUUCUGCGGCUUAUAUUCCGGUGCAGCUAAUAUAUGGAAAAAUAUUUUUUUGAUUCUAAAAUUAAAUGAAGCGUAUAUACCAGUGUGCUCUCUAGUCUGGAAAAUAUGGUAAUAGUACUAAACACAUAAAAACAUUUGCCUAUUUUCUGUAAGUUUGUCAAUUAUUUAAUUUGCACCCCUCUAUUUUGGCGAAGAAUUAUGACGAUUAUCAAAUUUGAAGAACAUCGCAAUUGCGUUCCUUACAAUGAUAUGAAAAAAAUCCAAUACAGGUCACAUAUGGGCACCAUAAUCAGAAUGACCGGCAGUGUGAACAAGGCUAAAGAAGUGUGGCCUGUAGAACCUAUUGAUCUAGAUCAGUGGUUCUUAACCUGGGUUCGAUCGAACCCUAGGGGUUCGGUGAGUCAGUCUUAGGGGUUCGGCGGAGCCUCCACCGCGGAGGUCAAGACACACCCGACUCAUAGUGUA